AGUGAGCGCUGGCGGUAGGCCUAACACAUGCAAGUCGAACGGCAGCACAGUAAGAGCUUGCUCUUACGGGUGGCGAGUGGCGGACGGGUGAGGAAUACAUCGGAAUCUACUUUUUCGUGGGGGAUAACGUAGGGAAACUUACGCUAAUACCGCAUACGACCUACGGGUGAAAGCAGGGGAUCUUCGGACCUUGCGCGAUUGAAUGAGCCGAUGUCGGAUUAGCUAGUUGGCGGGGUAAAGGCCCACCAAGGCGACGAUCCGUAGCUGGUCUGAGAGGAUGAUCAGCCACACUGGAACUGAGACACGGUCCAGACUCCUACGGGAGGCAGCAGUGGGGAAUAUUGGACAAUGGGCGCAAGCCUGAUCCAGCCAUACCGCGUGGGUGAAGAAGGCCUUCGGGUUGUAAAGCCCUUUUGUUGGGAAAGAAAAGCAGCAGGUUAAUACCCCGCUGUUCUGACGGUACCCAAAGAAUAAGCGCCGGCUAACUUCGUG
rnacentral:rRNA from 1 species